rnacentral:rRNA from 1 species
UACGUAGGGGGCAAGCGUUGUCCGGAAUCAUUGGGCGUAAAGUGCGCGUAGGCGGCUCGAUCAGUCUGCUGUGAAAGUCAAAGGCUCAACCUUUGAAUGCCGGUGGAUACUGUCGAGCUAGAGUCCGGAAGAGGCGAGUGGAAUUCCUGGUGUAGCGGUGGAAUGCGCAGAUAUCAGGAGGAACACCAACGGCGAAGGCAGCUCGCUGGGGCGGUACUGACGCUGAGGCGCGAAAGCGUGGGGAGCAAACAGG